rnacentral:rRNA from 1 species
CAGCAGCCGCGGGAAUACGGAGGGUGCAAGCGUUAAUCGGAAUUACUGGGCGUAAAGUGCACGCAGGCGGUCUGACAAGUCAGAUGUGAAAUCCCCGGGCUUAACCUGGGAACUGCAUUUGAAACUGUCAGGCUGGAGUCUUGUAGAGGGGGGUAGAAUUCCAGGUGUAGCGGUGAAAUGCGUAGAGAUCUGGAGGAAUACCGGUGGCGAAGGCGGCCCCCUGGACAAAGACUGACGCUCAGGUGCGAAAGCGUGGGGAGCAAACAGGAUUAGAUACCCCGGUAGUCCCUGUCUCUUAUAC